rnacentral:tRNA from 1 species
GGGGAUUUAGCUUAGUGGUACAGCGCUUGCCUAGCAAGCACAAGGCCCUGGGUUCAGUCCCCAGCUCCG